CGAUCGCCUGCCAGAUAACCCUCAGCGAUGAAGGUUCAUUGGGGCUCACAAAAGUCUCUCCACGGCGAGGACGAAUUUUGAAUGUUCGAUCUCAAAUCAGGUAGGACUACCCGCUGAACUUAAGCAUAUCAAUAAGCGGAGGAUCUUGGUCAUUUAGAGGAAGUAAGCGGAGGAGCAUAUCAAUAAGCGGAGGAACAUAUNCUAUNAGCGGAAGAGCAUAUCAAUAAGCGGAGGAACGGAGGAGCAUAUCAAUAAGCGGAGGAUCUUGGUCAUUUAGAGGAAGUAAGCAUAUCAAUAAGCGGAGGA
rnacentral:rRNA from 1 species